ACAUUCCACGUGGUCCGUGACGAAGUUAACACAUUAAGCACCCCCGCCUGGGGAGUACGGUCGCAAGACUAAAACUCAAAGGAAUUGACGGGGGCCCGCACAAGCGGCGGAGCAUGCGGAUUAAUUCGAUGCAACGCGAAGAACCUUACCAAGGCUUGACAUAUAGAGGAAACGUGCAGAAAUGUACGCCCCGCAAGGUCUCUAUACAGGUGGUGCAUGGUUGUCGUCAGCUCGUGUCGUGAGAUGUUGGGUUAAGUCCCGCAACGAGCGCAACCCUCGUUCUGUGUUGCCAGCAUUUAGUUGGGGACUCACAGGAGACUGCCGGGGUUAACUCGGAGGAAGGUGGGGAUGACGUCAAAUCAUCAUGCCCCUUAUGUCUUGGGCUGCACGCAUGCUACAAUGGCCGGUACAGAGGGCUGCAAUACCGUAAGGUGGAGCGAAUCCCAAAAAGCCGGUCUCAGUUCGGAUUGAGGUCUGCAACUCGACCUCAUGAAGUUGGAGUUGCUAGUAAUCGUAGAUCAGCAACGCUACGGUGAAUACGUUCCCGGGGCUUGUACACACCGCCCGUCACGUCACGAAGUCGGUAACACCACAAAGUCAGUGGCCCAACCGCAAGGGGG
rnacentral:rRNA from 1 species